CAGCCUCACGUGGACAGUUUUGUUCCAUUGGCAAGAAAAAGCCCUCGGACAAAGAAAUACAGUUGCUGGCAUGCGGAGUUGGGCCCAGACGCCCUGAAAGGGUAAACCAGAGCGGCUGUGGGCAGGGUGCUGACAGCACCGGCUACUCGGAACACGCAGGAGAGUAGCAGGAAAUGAGGGCGGAAGAGUGAAGGGGCAAAAGUUUGGGGCUAUGGAGGUCAUUACAAAGACAAUCGCUUUUCCUCUGGGUGAGGGAGAGAAAGACAGAAGCAAGGACACCACUGAGGGGAAGAUUGCAAUGUUCCAGCAGAGAGAUGAUGCGCACACAGUAUUUGAAAGGAAAACAACCUUCCAAAUUUCCAGACCCAUCUUCUGUUUAAAUGUGUCAUUCAUCUUUAAGUAAUUGAUACAGUAUUCCUUUACUCUUUCACUUAAUGAAAAAUAACUAUUUCUGGAGAUGCUUGCAGAUCUUACGGUCUAUGAUCUGAGCAUUCUCCCUGUUGCAAUAGUCUCCCCCCUCUUACUGCAAAAAUCCUUUUGAAUAAAAUCUCUCCUU